UGUUGGUUUUACCGAUGCUCCGAGGACGCGAGUGUAUAAAAACACCUUUACUCCGAGGACGUAAAUUUCUCCCGAGGACUUUUUUCGGGUCCUCGGAAAGAUUCUGUCCCAAUCAACUCAAAAUGACGAAAUAUAUCAUGUGGUGAAAUUUGGUGAAAGUCCUCAGAAGGUCGGUAAAAUGUGAAUGUGCGUUUCCCGGUCACACAGUUUUAUCGGACGCCAUAACACACACUUGUUGUUUUCGAUGCGCGCGCAUCUCGGCGGCGGAAGUGAUGAUCAAUCAAGAUCUCUGGAGGUCGUAAAACGCCGCCACUGUCCAGCGGGAGAGAAAACUGUCAGUUGACCAUAGCAUCACAAGUUACUGUGGAUUCUGGUUAUUUUAAAAGUGAAAAUCAUGAAGAACUUUCGUGUAUUAUUUAGAGAUGGAGGACGGGUGCCAUGUUUACAUUCGCAACGAACAUAAGCAGACCAGUCUAUUUGUUUUCUGGGGGAUAUGACGAUAGGACCAUAUCUAUAGUUGUGUGAUGGGAGGUGAAUUUCAUCAUGACCUGAUGAUGGAAGAAGUAUAAUUGACAGAGUAUCAUGGAAUCCUUGUAACCAACCUUUUCUUGUUGAUGUGGAUUUUUUAAAUUAAGGAAACUGACUAAAAAAAUGACAUGCUGAAGGAUCAAGAAAAUGAUUCCAAUAAAAGAACUAAAAAGCCAUUUCACCAGUUAAAAGUGUGGAUGAUAUUCAGUGUGUUCAAAAAGUUGAAUAUAUAUAUACACAAAAAUGCAUUGAUUAGGAUGCAAAUUUGAUACAGAUUUAAGAAUCAUACAGUGUCAAGAUUCAUCAAUAGUGUGAAACAAUUUAUCAAUAAUAUGGCAACAUGCGACUGAUAUUGGAUUAGACAUCAACUUAUGAGGUACGUAUUUUAUAUAUAUAUUUUAACGUGUUUAAUAUGCCAUUUUAGUUAAAUUGAUCAAGGUAGCUAGCUUGCUUAAUUGGUAACGUUACAUUAAUUUAUUAAGAUUUAAUCUAAAAAGUACGUAGCAAAUUCAUACAGGUUCAUUUUUGGUACACGCAAUUAUUUGCAAGUUGUAUAUUUAAGAAGUUUCUACCCCUGAUAUUAGUCUAAGAUUGACAAAUGGGCAAAAAAAUAUGUAAUAUACUUGAUGAAAAAUUAUGAUUUAAAAAUUUUGAUUACCGAAUUCAGUAAAUAUGAA